UGGGGAAUCUUGCGCAAUGGGCGAAAGCCUGACGCAGCGACGCCGCGUGCGGGAAGAAGGCCUUAGGGUUGUAAACCGCUUUCAGGAGGGACGAAGCCACUCGGGUGAAUAGCCCAGAGGGUGACGGUACCUCCAGAAGAAGCCCCGGCUAACUACGUGCCAGCAGCCGCGGUAAUACGUAGGGGGCAAGCGUUGUCCGGAUUCAUUGGGCGUAAAGAGCGUGUAGGCGGCCAGGUAGGUCGGUUGUGAAAACUGGAGGCUCAACCUUCAGAGGUCGACCGAAACCAUCUGGCUAGAGUCCGGGAGAGGAGAGUGGAAUUCCUGGUGCAGCGGUGAAAUGCGCAGAUAUCAGGAAGAACACCCGUGGCGAAAGCGGCUCUCUGGAACGGUACUGACGCUGAGACGCGAAAGCGUGGGGAGCGAACAGGAUUAGAUACCCUGGUAGUCCACGCCGUAAACGAUGGGCGCUAGGUGUGGGAGGUGUCGACUCCUUCCGUGCCGCAG
rnacentral:rRNA from 1 species